rnacentral:rRNA from 1 species
CCUACGGGCGGCAGCAGUGAGGAAUAUUGGUCAAUGGACGAGAGUCUGAACCAGCCAAGUAGCGUGAAGGAGGACUGCCCAAUGGGUUGUAAACUUCUUUUAUAAAGGAAUAAAACGAGGCACGUGUGCCCUUUUGCAUGUACUUUAUGAAUAAGGAUCGGCUAACUCCGUGCCAGCAGCCGCGGUAAUACGGAGGAUCCGAGCGUUAUCCGGAUUUAUUGGGUUUAAAGGGAGCGUAGAUGGGUUGUUAAGUCAGUUGUGAAAGUUUGCGGCUCAACCGUAAAAUUGCAAUUGAUACUGGCAGUCUUGAGUACAGUUGAGGUAGGCGGAAUUCGUGGUGUAGCGGUGAAAUACUUAGAUAUCACGAAGAACCCCGAUUGCGAAGGCAGCUUACUAACCUGUGACUGACAUUGAUGCACGAAAGUGUGGGUAUCAAACAGGAUUAGAUACCCGAGUAGUC